rnacentral:rRNA from 1 species
AGUGGCGCACGGGUGAGUAACGCGUGGGAAUAUGCCCUUCACUACGGGACAACGUCGGGAAACUGACGCUAAUACCGUAUAAUGACUCCGGUCCAAAGAUUUAUCGGUGAAGGAUUAGCCCGCGUCUGAUUAGCUAGUUGGUGAGGUAAUGGCUCACCAAGGCUACGAUCAGUAGCUGGUCUGAGAGGAUGAUCAGCCACACUGGGACUGAGACACGGCCCAG